rnacentral:rRNA from 1 species
UGGGGAAUUUUGGACAAUGGGCGAAAGCCUGAUCCAGCAAUGCCGCGUGUGUGAAGAAGGCCUUCGGGUUGUAAAGCACUUUUGUCCGGAAAGAAAUCCUUGGUUCUAAUACAGUCGGGGGAUGACGGUACCGGAAGAAUAAGCACCGGCUAACUACGUGCCAGCAGCCGCGGUAAUACGUAGGGUGCAAGCGUUAAUCGGAAUUACUGGGCGUAAAGCGUGCGCAGGCGGUUUGCUAAGACCGAUGUGAAAUCCCCGGGCUCAACCUGGGAACUGCAUUGGUGACUGGCAGGCUAGAGUAUGGCAGAGGGGGGUAGAAUUCCACGUGUAGCAGUGAAAUGCGUAGAGAUGUGGAGGAAUACCGAUGGCGAAGGCAGCCCCCUGGGCCAAUACUGACGCUCAUGCACGAAAGCGUGGGGAGCAAACAGGAUUAGAUACCCUGGUAGUCCACGCCCUAAAACGAUGUCAACUAGUUGUUGGGGAUUCAUUUCCUUAGUAACGUAGCUAACGCGUGAAGUUGACCGCCUGGGGAGUACGGUCGC